CCUACGGGAGGCAGCAGUGAGGAAUAUUGGUCAAUGGCCGAGAGGCUGACCCAGCCACGUCGCGUGAGGGAAGAAUGUCCUAUGGAUUGUAAACCUCUUUUGUCGGGGAGCAAAGUCACCCACGUGUGGGUGUUGGAGAGUACCUUACGAACAAGCAUCGGCUAACUCCGUGCCAGCAGCCGCGGUAAUACGGAGGAUGCGAGCGUUAUCCGGAUUUGUAGGGUUUAAAGGGUGCGUAGGGGGGUUAUCAAGUCAGCGGUAAAAUCGUGGAGCUAAACUCCAGCCAGCCGUUGACACUGAUGAUCUUGAGUGGGCGAGAGGUAUGCGGAAUGCGUGGUGUAGCGGUGAAAUGCAUAGAUAUCACGAAGAACUCCGAUUGCGAAGGCAGCAUACCGGCGCCCGACUGACGCUGAAGCACGAAAGCGUGGGUAUCGAACAGGAUUAGAUACCCGGGUAGUC
rnacentral:rRNA from 1 species